GACGAACGCUGGCGGCGUGCCUAAUACAUGCAAGUAGAACGCACAGUUUAUACCGUAGCUUGCUACACCAUAGACUGUGAGUUGCGAACGGGUGAGUAACGCGUAGGUAACCUGCCUGGUAGCGGGGGAUAACUAUUGGAAACGAUAGCUAAUACCGCAUAAUAUUAAUUAUUGCAUGAUAAUUGAUUGAAAGGUGCAAAUGCAUCACUACCAGAUGGACCUGCGUUGUAUUAGCUAGUAGGUGAGGUAACGGCUCACCUAGGCGACGAUACAUAGCCGACCUGAGAGGGUGAUCGGCCACACUGGGACUGAGACACGGCCCAGACUCCUACGGGAGGCAGCAGUAGGGAAUCUUCGGCAAUGGACGAAAGUCUGACCGAGCAACGCCGCGUGAGUGAAGAAGGUUUUCGGAUCGUAAAGCUCUGUUGUAAGAGAAGAACGGGUGUGAGAGUGGAAAGUUCACACUGUGACGGUAUCUUACCAGAAAGGGACGGCUAACUACGUGCCAGCAGCCGCGGUAAUACGUAGGUCCCGAGCGUUUGUCCGGAUUUAUUGGGCGUUAA
rnacentral:rRNA from 1 species